AGGGGUGUAGCUCAGUGGUAGAGUGAGCGCUUAGCAUGCACGAGGUCCUGGGUUCAAUUCCCAGUCUCUCCA
rnacentral:tRNA from 1 species